rnacentral:rRNA from 1 species
AUUGAACGCUAGCGGCAGGCCUAACACAUGCAAGUCUAGCGAGCGGCGGACGGGUGAGUAAUGUAUGGGGACUGCAGGAUAGAGGGGGAUAACUACUGGAAACGGUAGGUAAUACCGCAUACUAUAGGAUAACACAUAUGGGAUUAGCUAGUAGGUGAGGUAAUGGCUCACAUUGGCGACGAUCACUAGCUGGGCUGAGAGGAUGAUCAAGCACACUGGGACGUGGACACGUCCCACACUCCUACGGAGGCAGCAGUGGGGAAUAUUGCACAAUGGACGCAAGCCUGAUGCAGCCAUGCCGCGUGUGUGAAGAAGGCCCUCGGGUUGUAAAGUACUUUCAGUCGGGAGGCGUUGCCGACAGAGUAAGCGCCGGCUAACUCCGUGCCAGCAGCCGCGGUAAUUC